rnacentral:rRNA from 1 species
ACACUCCUGCGGGAGGCAGCAGUGGGGAAUAUUGGACAAUGGGCGCAAGCCUGAUCCAGCCAUGCCGCGUGAGUGAUGAAGGCCCUAGGGUUGUAAAGCUCUUUCACCGGUGAAGAUAAUGACGGUAACCGGAGAAGAAGCCCCGGCUAACUUCGUGCCAGCAGCCGCGGUAAUACGAAGGGGGCUAGCGUUGUUCGGAUUUACUGGGCGUAAAGCGCACGUAGGCGGACUAUUAAGUCAGGGGUGAAAUCCCGGGGCUCAACCCCGGAACUGCCUUUGAUACUGGUAGUCUUGAGUUCGAGAGAGGUGAGUGGAAUUCCGAGUGGAGAGGUGAAAUUCGUAGAUAUUCGGAGGAACACCAGUGGCGAAGGCGGCUCACUGGCUCGAUACUGACGCUGAGGUGCGAAAGCGUGGGGAGCAAACAGGAUUAGAAACCCGGGUAGUCCCAUGA